GAGCAGCGGUGGACUGUAUUCGAGUGAGAAUGCCGGAAUGAGUAGCGAGAAUUAUGUGGGAAUCAUAAUGGCCGAAAAUCUAAGGUUUCCUGGGGAAGGUUCGUCCGCCCAGGGUUAGCCGGGAGCUAAGGCGAGGCCGCGAGGCGUAGUCGAUGCACAUACGGUUGAAAUUCCGUAGCCACCUUAUCGAAUGAAAGCUGACACUUGGAAAUAGCGGGACCCGGAGAUUGGUAGAUCCGGGCGUAAGGGACCGAACACGAGUAGGGAAGUCCGCGAUGUUCUGAGGCGAGAAAAGGCGAAGGUAGGGUGCCCGUACCGCAAACCGACACAGGUAGAUGAGGAGAGAAUCCUAAGGCCAACGGGAGAAGGGUUGUUAAGGAACUCGGCAAAAUGACCCCGUAACUUCGGGAUAAGGGGAGCCUGCGCGAGCAGGCCGCAGAGAAUAGGCCCAAGCGACUGUUUACCAAAAACACAGGUCUAUGCUAAAUCGAAAGAUGACGUAUAUGGGCUGACGCCUGCCCGGUGCUGGAAGGUUAAGAGGAGAUGUCAGGCAACGAAGCAUUGAAUCGAAGCCCCAGUAAACGGCGGCCGUAACUAUAACGGUCCUAAGGUAGCGAAAUUCCUUGUCAGGUAAGUUCUGACCCGCACGAAUGGCGUAACGAUUUGGGCGCUGUCUCAACAGCCCACCCGGCGAAAUUGUUGUACUGGUGAAGAAGCCAGUUACCCGCAACUAGACGGAAAGACCCCAUGGAGCUUUACUGCAGCUUAAUACUGGAAUUCGGUAAUUCAUGUACAGGAUAGGUGGGAGACAUGGAAGUACGGUCGUCAGGCCGUAUGGAGUCGCCCUUGGGAUACCACUCUUGGAUUGCUGGGUUUCUAACCUGCGGCCGUGAAUCCGGUCGGGGGACACUGUUAGGCAGACAGUUUGACUGGGGCGGUCGCCUCCUAAAAGGUAACGGAGGCGCUCAAAGGUUGGCUCAGCACGGACGGAAAUCGUGCGGUGAGUGUAAACGUAUAAGCCAGCCUAACUGCGAGAGUGACGGCUCGAGCAGUAACGAAAGUUGGAGUUAGUGAUCCGGUGGUAUGUGAGUGGAAAUGCCAUCGCUCAACGGAUAAAAGCUACCCUGGGGAUAACAGGCUGAUCUCCCCCAAGCGUCCACAGCGACGGGGAGGUUUGGCACCUCGAUGUCGGCUCGUCACAUCCUGGGGCUGUACUCGGUCCCAAGGGUUCGGCUGUUCGCCGAUUAAAGUGGCACGCGAGCUGGGUUCAGAACGUCGUGAGACAGUUCGGUCCCUAUCUGUUGCGGGCGUAAGAGAUUUGAAGGGGGCUGUCCUUAGUACGAGAGGACCGGGAUGGACGCACCUCUGGUGCACCUGUUGUCGUGCCAACGGCAUAGCAGGGUAGCUAAGUGCGGACGAGAUAAACGCUGAAAGCAUCUAAGCGUGAAACUUUCCCUAAGAUAAGAUCUCUCAUCCUUCGAGGAGUAAGGCACGAUAGAGACUAUGUCGUAGAUAGGCCGGAGGUGGAAGUGCAGUAAUGUAUGGAGCUGACCGGUACUAAUCAGCCGAGGGCUUGACCUG
rnacentral:rRNA from 2 species